GGCACUCCUGCCCUCAGCAACACGCCCUGUCCCCCAUGCUGCAGCAAGCACAUCUUGGGGCAGGAAGGAGGGUGAACCUUCCCUUGCUGAUGGAUUAACUCUGCUGAUGGAGAGGGAAGGUACAGCAGAGGUGGCAAGAAACACAUCAGUGAGGCAUGGCAGGAAGGUGUGGUGCUGACCUGGGUGCCCCUGUGGGCCCAGACACAGGGCAGGAGGCAGACACAAGCCCCUGCCACCAGUGUCUGUGCAUCUUCCAGGUCUGAGGUGGUUCCCCCACGAGUCUGUGGAAAGGCAACUGGACAACCUGGUUAAGAAACCUGUUUCAUUCCUACCCUUGAUAUCAGGGCGUUUACCCCUGGCAAGGGUUAUUUUACUAAGAUGUAAACUGAGAAGAGAUGGAAAAUCAGCAUUUGAAUUGAAGAAUGUCUUGUAUUUCAAGUAACCCUACCCUGCAGUUUCUUGUCUGUACUUCAACAGACAGCAGGGCUGAUUAUUAUUACUGAAGGCAGCCGAGACAGGAAUGAAGAACAAAGUGCUGUACAGCAGCUUCUUGCUGAUGUCAGAGUUCACAACUGUCAAGUCUGCAGCCAACGAGGCAAGUUUUUGUCCCAUUUGCCCAAAUGAAGAUAAAUCCCAGCUACUAAGGAAAG